rnacentral:rRNA from 1 species
UACGAAGGGGGCUAGCGUUGCUCGGAAUCACUGGGCGUAAAGCGCACGUAGGCGGAUCCUUAAGUCGGGGGUGAAAUCCUGGAGCUCAACUCCAGAACUGCCUUCGAUACUGAGGAUCUCGAGUCCGGGAGAGGUGAGUGGAACUGCGAGUGUAGAGGUGAAAUUCGUAGAUAUUCGCAAGAACACCAGUGGCGAAGGCGGCUCACUGGCCCGGUACUGACGCUGAGACGCGAAAGCGUGGGGAGCGAACAGG